UUGGAGGGCAAGUCUGGUGCCAGCAGCCGCGGUAAUUCCAGCUCCAAUAGCGUAUAUUAAAGUUGUUGCAGUUAAAAAGCUCGUAGUUGAAUUUCGGGGUCAGUAGGUUGGUCAUGCCACUGGUAUGUACUGGUCUCACUGAUUCCUCCUUCCUGAUGAGCUGUAAUGCCAUUAAUUUGGUGUUGCGGGGAAUUUGGACUGUUACUUUGAAAAAAUUAGAGUGUUUAAAGCAGGCUCACGCUUGAAUACAUUAGCAUGGAAUAAUGAAAUAGGACGUUUGAUUCUAUUUUGUUGGUUUCUAGGAUUGACGUAAUGAUUAAUAGGGAUAGUUGGGGGCAUUAGUAUUCAAUUGUCAGAGGUGAAAUUCUUGGAUUUAUUGAAGACUAACUACUGCGAAAGCAUUUGCCAAGGAUGUUUUCAUUAAUCAAGAACGAAAGUUAGGGGAUCGAAGACGAUCAGAUACCGUCGUAGUCUUAACCAUAAACUAUGCCGACUAGGGAUCGGAUGAUGUUAAUUUUUUAAUGACUCAUUCGGCGCCUUACGGGAAAC
rnacentral:rRNA from 1 species